rnacentral:rRNA from 1 species
CCUACGGGGGGCAGCAGUGAGGAAUAUUGGUCAAUGGGCGUAAGCCUGAACCAGCCAAGUCGCGUGAGGGAUGAAGGUUCUAUGGAUCGUAAACCUCUUUUAUAAGGGAAUAAAGUGUGGGACGUGUCCUGUUUUGUAUGUACCUUAUGAAUAAGGAUCGGCUAACUCCGUGCCAGCAGCCGCGGUGAUACGGAGGAUCCGAGCGUUAUCCGGAUUUAUUGGGUUUAAGGGGUGCGUAGGCGGCCUUUUAAGUCAGCGGUGAAAGUCUGUGGCUCAACCAUAGAAUUGCCGUUGAAACUGGGAGGCUUGAGUAUGUUUGAGGCAGGCGGAAUGCGUGGUGUAGCGGUGAAAUGCUUAGAUAUCACGCAGAACCCCGAUUGCGAAGGCAGCCUGCCAAGCCAUGACUGACGCUGAUGCACGAAAGCGUGGGGAUCAAACAGGAUUAGAUACCCCGGUAGUC